GUGCAGGAUCUGGUCCCUAAAGCUGCUCCAUCACGUUGCCAAGUAACCAGAGAAGGAAUAUGUUUUGUUUUCCAUGGAGGGCAGGAGGGAUCAGGGUGCUCAUGUGAAAGAUCACAGAGCCUAUGGACAUGUGUGAUCAGUGGGGAGACUGAAUCCAACAUGAUCCUUCCACUUAGAGACAUUCUGUACCCUAAGGUUUUUCUUGCACUAAAUCUCAUGCCAGCAAGAAGCAAGAUGCAUUAUGUUUGUAUGUGAGUUUUGUGUUCUGACAUUAGCUGUUUUUGUAUGUUUAUUUGUUUUUAAUGGACAGAUUCAGAGUAUUUAAUUCAGACACCCAAAAUAGCAGAUCCACAACCGGCUGCCGAUUUGAAUCUUGUAUAAAUCAGUGAGGUACCAGGGCUCUCUAUAUAAUCC
rnacentral:lncRNA from 1 species